rnacentral:rRNA from 1 species
GUGGGGAAUAUUGGACAAUGGGCGAAAGCCUGAUCCAGCAAUGCCGCGUGAGUGAAGAAGGCCUUCGGGUUGUAAAGCUCUUUUACCCGGGAAGAUAAUGACUGUACCGGGAGAAUAAGCCCCGGCUAACUCCGUGCCAGCAGCCGCGGUAAUACGGAGGGGGCUAGCGUUGUUCGGAUUUACUGGGCGUAAAGCGCACGUAGGCGGUCUUUUAAGUCAGAGGUGAAAGCCCGGGGCUCAACUCCGGAAUUGCCUUUGAAACUGGGAGACUUGAACACGGGAGAGGUGAGUGGAAUUCCGAGUGUAGAGGUGAAAUUCGUAGAUAUUCGGAGGAACACCAGUGGCGAAGGCGGCUCACUGGACCGUUGUUGACGCUGAGGUGCGAAAGCGUGGGGAGCAAACAGGAUUAGAAACCCUAGUAGUCC